ensembl:lncRNA
GUGGAGAGAGAAUGUGGGAGGAAGCCACGGUACACUGAAAAGACCAAAACGGAUACCUGCUCUCUCUUUACAGCUGGCCUUGCUCACUUCUAUUGAUGAGUAACUGGGUAAGUGGUGAGGGGAGUUUACUAGUCUCGGGAACAGUGGUUGCCAGUCCAACACCCAUUCCCAACCUGGCAUGUUAGUAGCACCCUGAUUUUAUAUAGAUAUGAGGCAGCCAUGGCUUCAGGGGGGGCCAGGUCCUCUCCAGGGCUAUGAUAGAGUCAUGGAGUGGCAUAGACUAGUAGUGGUCCCCCAAUAUCUACCACCAUCCCCUCCACCAUCCUUCUCUAUAGUAAUAGAAAUCCCAGUUUUUAGCUGGGCCCAUGGCUGUGCAGAGUAAAGACAUUUCUCAGCCUCUGUUAUAGGCAAGUAAGCCCAUGUGACUGAGUUUUGCCCACUGGAAAUAAGCAGAUGUGAUGUGUAUAAUUUCUGAAAGUGUCCUUUAUGGAAAGGGAUUCUAUCUUUCUUCUCUUUUUCCCUUCCUCUAUGCUGGAAUGAGUACUAGAGGACUGGAGCUGGAGCAGCCAUCUUAUGCUGUGAAGCAACUUGGAGUGGAACCACUCACAGAGGAGCAUAAGAUUAGAAAGAACCUGGGUUUCUGAAGCUAAAAGUGCCAGAGAGCCCUGGGCAGCAUAGCCAGACUUCCACACAUGAUGCUGAAACUGUGAAAAUGAUGUUGGGAUGCUGACUGGACUCAGACCAAAGCUGAGCUGAGGCUGGCGGAGCAGCUACCAGGGAGUCUGCCAGGUUUCUCUACCCUGAAGUGACUGACAGAGUUCCUCUGCAUAAUUAACACGUAUUUUGUGGGAAGAGCCUUCAAGGCCACUGGGAAGAGCUGUUCCUCAGCACACUUUCAAGUUUCUUCCAGCGCCCACAGAUGGUUCUGGAAAUGACUGGACGUCAGUUACUUUGAUGUUUGCCACAUGCUGACUUCCUUGACUCUAGAAUGUAGAGAGAAGUUACUCCAAGCACAAGGAGUGGCCUCUUCUGGGCGGCCACAUUCCCCAGAGAGGGGUUCCUCCGCCUGGCUAUGGGGUCUAGAACACCUGGCUGUGACCCCAUUGUUCCAGGGCCCCAGGCGCCUUUCUCUUCUCUGGGCAUCAUCACAAGUGUGCUCCUGUGCCCGCCGUCCGAAGGAGAACUGAGAUCAGCCUCUUCUCAUGCAGAGUGAUGAGGUCUCUGCUGUGGGUUUGGCAUUGAGGGAAAGCAGAGCAGACCUCCAGGAUGCCCGAAUUAGGGUUCUUUACUACCAACAUCACACGGUGCUCUUUUUUUUUUUUUUUUUCAAAGAUUUUAUUUUUUCCUUUUUCUCCCCAAAGCCCCCCAGUACAUAGUUGUAUAUUCUUCGUUGUGGGUCCUUCUAGUUGUGGCAUGUGAGACGCUGCCUCAGCGUGGUCUGAUGAGCAGUGCCAUGUCCACGCCCAGGAUUCGAACCAACGAAACACUGGGCCGCCUGCAGCGGAGCGCGCGAACUUAACCACUCGGCCACGGGGCCAGCCCCACACGGUGCUCUUAACCACAUUCCCACCGUCACUCCCAGCACAGACCUUUCACGCCUCUGACUCUAAUGCUGUUCAGCGCUCGUCCUGGUCUCACUUCCCCCUCUCCUCCCAGUGGUGGGACAGUGUGGGAUAUAAGCUGAUGCCUUUGCUCUGCAGUAUUUCCUAAGACUGCCAACCUCCCCCCACUUUGGACAGCUGGGCCACCUGCUUUUACGACCUCAGGGAAAGGUUAUGCAGAGGACAAGGCAGGUAAUUCUGAGGGGUUUGUGUUUCAUACAUUUUUUUUUUUAAUUUAGAAUGAUAUAAAGUGAAAGAGAGAGGUUACCUUGUUCCUCAUACCCCCUGCCCCUUAUGAAGUUCCUGCAGCCUGGGCUGCAGGUCGAGAAAGUGUGAGAAGCAGAGAGGAGGGGGAGAUGGCUUAGCAGCUGCGCAUCCCUGACCUCCUAGAGAGCCACAUCCUAUUCAGGGCAUGGCAGGGCCCCGCAUUGGUUUGGAGAAUCUCAAAACAGAGGCUUGUACUUCAUUCUGGGGAGAAUCCAGGGAUAUGGCAAGGGCCCAAAGAGUGUCGUAGGCUUGAGUAAUUCAAGGAAGGGGCACAGCUGGAGCAUAAAGAGCUGGCAGUCAUGAGGAAGGACAUAUGGCGGCCGGCAGGACCCUCCAACAGAGACCAGGCGGAAUGCGGUGUGUCCACGGACACCAGGGCGGAGUUGGAGAGAGACCAACAUCACAUUCGCACGUAGACCUCACCAGAGGAGACUUAGAAGCGAUUCUGCACCAAAGAGGGGCAGGGCUCUGAAGUGACAGAAAUUAAGUUUCUGCCACCAUGUGGGAUGGGGGUUUACAAUAAAUUUAAGUUGUUAAUCAAGAA